GGAUGAUUUUGUAACCCCCUCCCCACUCUAUGAAUAUUUGGCAACAUCUAGACAUUUCUGAUUGUCAAACUGUGGGAAUGCUACCUGGGAUACAGUGAGUAGAAGCCAGGGAUGCAGCUAAACAUCCCACAAUGCACAAGACAGCCCUCUCUCCAACAAAGAAUUAUCUGGCCAUAGAUCAUCUUGUUAUCUUGGGCCAAUCAUUUUAAUUCUUUGAACAUCAGUUUCGUCAUUUGUACAAUAAGGUUAAAGUAUCUACCUGAAAGGGCUUUCGGGAACAUUAAGUGAUCUACUCUAUGUAGAACACUGAGCACACUGUCUACACAUUGUGUACUUUAACACAUUUUUAAGAAAAUUGUUAAUUUUGCUUCUUUUGCCUUUUCUCUCAAACAGAUUACUCUUGUGUAAUAAUGGGAACAAAAGGACCCAAGAAGAGGAUUUCAAAUUAACAACAAAGAGGUGUUUUUCUGGGCCUGGAUAAAUUAUAUGCCAAUAAUCACAUCUCCAUCCAGAGGAGCCACAUUUCAGGUGCUCAACAGCCAAAUGUGGCUUAUGGAACAGUGCAGGACCAGGAAGCUGGGAGGCUGCCUUCGCCUAUGCCAUCAUUGCCACCAGCAUGGCCCACGCCAUCCCAGCUGCCUGUACCCAGGGUAACCUCAGUGACUGCGGCAGCGACAAGGAGAAGCAAGGCCAGUACCACUGGGAUGAGGGCUGGAAGUGGGGUGGCUUCUCUUCUGACAUCAGCUACAGCAUCGAUUUCUCCAAGGGCUUUGUGGAUACUCAGGAGAUCAAGCAGAAUGCCCGGACUCGCAUGAACUUACACAACCACGAGAUGGGCUGAAAGGGAGGCAGCCAGGGAGGGCAGCUGGGCGGCUCUUGCAGAGAUGGUGCGGAACAGCUUGCUUGUAACCUCUGGCUCUGGCUGUCUGGUGAUGAGCCACAGGGCUCUGCCCUCAGCCUCGUUCUGCUUGGCUCUGGCGUCCAUCCGCUACAGGUCAGGGCUGUGUCUGCUUGUCAGUUACUGGAGAGGUUGCAGAGCUGAGUCUCCACUAAGACAAAUUGGAUGUUGCUCAGCAAGACAGAAAGAGGGACAGAUGUGAACUCGUAUCCUUGGGAGGGGCCAAGCAGGUCGUCUUCCAGCUACGCCUCUCUCCACCCUCUUCUCAGGCUUCUGGCCACAUCCUGUGUGUCAGAACCUCCCAGGUGGCCACGGUGAGUCACAUAGGAGAGUCGCUCACCUGGCCUGCCCUGGGGUAAGGUCCAGGAGUAGAUUACGGUGCCUCCUGUCCAGUCCCAGGGCUGCGAAUUCCUGCCCAGAGUGUCACCUCCCUGCAGGUUCUCAGCAGCUCCUUCUCCCUGUUUCUGUGCUGAGAUCACCCUGCAGGUCACAGGUCACAGACUUCCUCCUGCCCUCAAAGCUCUCAGUCCUUGGAGGCAGAUAGGAGGAAAACAAGUAGCUUUCCUCUCUCAGCCUGGGUUUCCUCAUCUGUAGCUACCUGAUUGGGCCAGGGUGAGAACGAAAGGAGAGAGUAACAGGUGGCUUGUGAUAAGUCAGUUUCCAGGUGGAUGAGGUGGGACAGUGUUCUGUGAGCCACCCGGCUACACACAGUAAGAGGCUCGUGGUUGCUGCUCAGUCAUGUUCCCAGGAGCCUGUGGGUGAUGUAGACACUGGGAGCUGUCAGACAUCAUUGGACCAACCUCAGUGGGCUUCCUGGAGGAGGUGAACCCCAAAAGAUGAGUGAGGUUUGGCAAGGCAGAGAAGAGGUGAAGGGAAGCCAUGUCUGGUGGCUGGGAGUGGACAAAGGCCCAGAGGUGGGGCACGGGACCAGGUCAGGGGCCCAUACUAGCUGGUCUCAGGGUCCCUGGAAGGGUAACCACAGCUGGGGUGGCCUGGCAGCUGACACAAGGAGUGAGAGCCUUGUGUUCUGUCCCUAGAUUGUCGUGUGCCUUCUCCUUGCCAUCCAAGUUUCAGCCAUGAUGUCCCCUACUUAGAGAAGCUUUCCUUUCACGUCCUUCCUAGACCUUGCUAGGAGGGCGCCUUGUUCCAUGGCCUUCUCCUCCCCCUCAACUAAAAGCUUGCUGAGGACAGGGACCCCUGUGUCUCGGUCCCAGCUGUGUUCCAGAGCUUGGCCCGCGUUAGCCACUCUAUACACAUGGACAGGAUGAACAGACAAAUGCCUGUGGCCACUGGGGAGCCACUGGUGGUUCUGGAGCGGGAGAGGGCCAGAGGUCAUACAGACAGACCCUUUGGAGGCAGAGGGAGGCCCUGAGCAGGGUGAGCAGAGGGGUCUGGGUGGAGAGCAGGCUGGCCUGAGCUGGUGUUUCUGAGCAGAAAUUUCUCCAGCUCAGGGAGAC